AGGGAAUCUUCCACAAUGGGCGCAAGCCUGAUGGAGCAACACCGCGUGAGUGAAGAAGGGUUUCGGCUCGUAAAGCUCUGUUGUUAAAGAAGAACACGUAUGAGAGUAACUGUUCAUACGUUGACGGUAUUUAACCAGAAAGUCACGGCUAACUACGUGCCAGCAGCCGCGGUAAUACGUAGGUGGCAAGCGUUAUCCGGAUUUAUUGGGCGUAAAGAGAGUGCAGGCGGUUUUUCUAAGUCUGAUGUGAAAGCUUCGGCUUAACCGGAGAAGUGCAUCGGAAACUGGAUAACUUGAGUGCAGAAGAGGGUAGUGGAACUCCAUGUGUAGCGGUGGAAUGCGUAGAUAUAUGGAAGAACACCAGUGGCGAAGGCGGCUACCUGGUCUGCAACUGACGCUGAGACUCGAAAGCAUGGGUAGCGAACAGGAUUAGAUACCCUGGUAGUCCAUGCCGUAAACGGUGAGUGCUAGGUGUUGGAGGGUUUCCGCCCUUCAGUGCCGGAGCUAACGCAUUAAGCACUCCGCCUGGGGGAGUACGACCGCAAGGUUGAAACUCUAAAGUGAAUUGAC
rnacentral:rRNA from 1 species